GAUGAACGCUGGCGGCGUGCCUAAUACAUGCAAGUCGAGCGAACGGACGAGAAGCUUGCUUCUCUGAUGUUAGCGGCGGACGGGUGAGUAACACGUGGAUAACCUACCUAUAAGACUGGGAUAACUUCGGGAAACCGUAGCUAAUACCGGAUAAUAUUUUGAACCGCAUGGUUCAAAAGUGAAAGACGGUCUUGCUGUCACUUAUAGAUGGAUCCGUGCUGCAUUAGCUAGUUGGUAAGGUAACGGCUUACCAAGGCAACGAUGCAUAGCCGACCUGAGAGGGUGAUCGGCCACACUGGAACUGAGACACGGUCCAGACUCCUACGGGAGGCAGCUGUAGGGAAUCUUCCGCAAUGGGCGAAAGCCUGACGGAGCAACGCCGCGUGAGUGAUGAAGGUCUUCGGAUCGUAAAACUCUGUUAUUAGGGAAGAACAUAUGUGUAAGUAACUGUGCACAUCUUGACGGUACCUAAUCAGAAAGCCACGGCUAACUACGUG
rnacentral:rRNA from 1 species